rnacentral:rRNA from 1 species
AUUGAACGCUGGCGGCAGGCCUAACACAUGCAAGUCGAACGAGUGGCGGACGGGUGAGGAAUGUCAGGGAGACUGCCCGAUGGAGGGGGAUAACUACUGGAAACGGUAGCUAAUACCGCAUACCAUCGGAUGUGCCCAGAUGGGAUUAGCUAGUGGGUGGGGUAACGGCUCACCCAGGCGACGAUCCCUAGCUGGUCUGAGAGGAUGACCAGCCACACUGGAACUGACACACGGUCCAGACUCCUACGGGAGGCAGCAGUGGGGAAUAUUGCACAAUGGGCGCAAGCCUGAUGCAGCCAUGCCGCGUGUAUGAAGAAGGCCUUCGGGUUGUAAAGUACUUUCAGCGAGGAGGCGUUACUCGCAGAAGAAGCACCGGCUAACUCCGUGCCAGCAGUCGCGGUAAUUC